rnacentral:rRNA from 1 species
ACGGGUGAGUAACGCGUGGGAAUCUACCGUGCCCUGCGGAAUAGCUCCGGGAAACUGGAAUUAAUACCGCAUACGCCCUACGGGGGAAAGAUUUAUCGGGGUAUGAUGAGCCCGCGUUGGAUUAGCUAGUUGGUGGGGUAAAGGCCUACCAAGGCGACGAUCCAUAGCUGGUCUGAGAGGAUGAUCAGCCACAUUGGGACUGAGACACGGCCCAAACUCCUACGGGAGGCAGCAGUGGGGAAUAUUGGACAAUGGGCGCGAGCCUGAUCCAGCCAUGCCGCGUGAGUGAUGAAGGCCUUAGGGUUGUAAAGCUCUUUCACCGGAGAAGAUAAUGACGGUAUCCGGAGAAGAAGCCCCGGCUAACCUCGUGCCAGCAGCCGCGGUAAUACGAAGGGGGCUAGCGUUGUUCGGAAUUACUGGGCGUAAAGCGCACGUAGGCGGAUAUUUAGGUCAGGGGUGAAAUCCCAGAGCUCAACUCUGGAACUGCCUUUGAUACUGGGUAUCUUGAGUAUGGAAGAGGUAAGUGGAAUUCCGAGUGUAGAGGUGAAAUUCGUAGA